GCGGCUGGGCCCCCGGGCGCGGCGGCGGGCUGGCGGGCAGACGGCUGGCGGCUCCGGCGCUUUGUUCGGCGUGAGCCCGCGCUGCGGGCUCCCCGGGCGCUGGCCCGGCCCUGCCCUGCCUGCGAAGCCUUUCCCGCCGCGGUCCGGGCCGGGCGGGGGGCGGCGCCUCGCCGCACCCCAGAGGUCGCAGAGGGCUUGGGCUUAGGCGCGGCGCGCUCAGCUGCGGGUUGGGGAGCCGUGGGCCUCCCAGGUCCGCCCAUGUUUUUAGUUCUCCGCGGUCGCGGGAGUGAAAAGUGCCCUUUGUUUUCUUUGCCUGUGGUCACUGCGCGCCCCGCCCCCACGGAGCCUGGGUCCGGAGCCCAACGGCGCCCGCUCCCGCUGGGGCAGAGGCAAGGGCGCGGGCUAGGGGCGCGGGCUAGGGGCGCGGGGCGCGCCCAGCUCCACCUCUGAGGCAGGCGCCGCUCCCGAGCGGUCUGGCCGCCCUGAGGGGCAGCAGAGCUCUCGGCUAAGCGUUUCCUGGCUGUGCUAACAGGACCGAAGAAGAAAACACGCUGUGGAAAGGACUGGCUUCCUUGGAGGGACCUGGGAACAUGUACAAUAGUUAAAAAGCAAAUGAUUUUUAGGUGAGUAUGUCAAAUCAGCCUACCUGAUUUAACGAAGUAGUUAUUCAUACUGCACUGUGGAGGGUUUUAUUAUGGAAUGAAAUGUAUUAAUUCAACGGAUCAACAUUGAUUAAAAACUUUAAAACCUGGGCCGGGGAUUUAGCUCAGUGGCACCGUACUUGCCUUGCAAGUGCAAGGUCCUGAGAUCGAUCCCUGGUACUGCAAAAAAAAAAAAGAAGAAAAAAACCUUAAAAACUUGUAGGAGAUAAUACAUUUGAUUAAAAAGCUGGAGAAUAAUUAAUAUGCUUGGCAUAGUAUGGAGAUUUCAGUUGCUGGUCUUAGGAAAUGGAUUUUUGGCAGCCCCAUGCUACACAGGUCCUCUGCUGCUGCUGUGCGUGUAGCCCAAGAAGAUAGUACUCAGUGAGGUAGCUGAAAGGGCCAAAUCAGGUGUGGUCUUACACAUUUAUUCGGACUUGACUGUUAACUAUUUCUGGCACUUGGGGCUGUGUGGGAGUGUGGGGGAAGAGCUCCAGCCUUCGAGAGCCAUUCCUGUACAGACAAAGUGAUUGACCUUGGGGUUUGUCUCUGGUGACCACAGAACUUGCCUUAGCUGCUGCAUGGUGAAGACUGGUUCUACAGUCACCUCAGAACUUGGCUCUACCGCUUGCUGUGCAACCCCGGGAGCAUUAACCUUUGCUGCAGUUUCAUCAUUAGUGAAAUGGGGAUAACAGUAGUCCUAACCUUGUGAACUUGUUGCAGGAAAGUUACAGAAGUUUCACACGUAGAGCAAACUUAGAAAAGCUUCCACCAGGUGUGGUGGCCCAUGUAUAAUUUCAACACUCUAGGAGGCUGAGGCAGGAUUGCAGGUUUGAUCCCAGCUGAGGCAACUUGGUGACUUAGUCCCUAUCUCAAAAAAAGGUGUUGGAUGUAGCUCAUUGUGCAGCCCCUGAGUUCAGUCUCCCCAGUACCACCAAAUAAAAACAGUCCCCAGCACAUGGUGAGUGCUUUCCUUUUAGCUACUAUCGUGUUACAGGAAGUAUGUUUUAUGGCCUAAGACAUUUAACACUGUUGCCCUCUUUUGAGCUCUGAAUGAUCUUCCUGUUUGUGAAGCCCAUUACUGUUGGUGCUGCAGGGCCUCUGGUCAGUACUCAUGCACAGCAGGUUUUGCCUGCAGGCUUCUUUGAAGUUAGUACUAUCUCCCUGAAUUCCUUGGCUAGGGCAACCAUUGUUCUUCCCUGUUACCUGUGAGAGGCAUAAGGAAUCUUCCAAUCUAGAUAAUCAGCAUUGCAGUAGGCACUCUGGUGUUUAGGGAGUUAAUCUCAUCAUCUUUAAAAUAUGUUUGUAAAGGUGAAUGAUAAACCAUAAUCUCCUACUUGGGAGGCUGAGGCAUGAGGAUCAUUGAUUUCAAGACUAACAGGGGGCUCACCUGGAAAUUGAGUGAUAGUCUCCUUCAAAAUAAAAAGUGUUGGAGGUGUGGCUCAACAGUAGAGCACUUGCCUAGCACACCAGAUGCCCUGGGUUCAAUGCCCUGUGCUACAAAAAAGAAGAGAAUGGUUAACUAAAGCGCUUUUUGUCUAAGCAGGCCUCCCUCCCAGCCUUCAGGGGCUUGCUUCAUUACUGGAAACAGACCUGGACAGCAUUCAGUUUGAGAUAAAAGAACAAUACACUGGUCCUGGGUGUAGAAAUGCAAGUUUACUUCGAAAGAAGUAAUCUUGUGGACCUGGAAGAACUUUAAGGGUUUUGUCUGGGGGCAGCUAUGUAGUCUUAAUUCCUUGCUGCUGUGAAUGCACUUAUAUGUGAAAAACAAGGUGGUUGCCAGCCUGAGGAGCUAAAUAUCUCCAGUGAGGUGGAAACUGUUUUCUGUUCAUGGUUCUGUAAAUAGUUCUAAAGGUUUAAUGACAAUGACUUGAGAUUCUCCUGAGAUGUAUCAAAUUACAAGGCUUAAUUUGUAAAGUCUAGUGAUUAUAAAGUAGUAGUGUCAAAAUUUAAUUGCACAGUUACAUUUCUUUUUUUGUUUUGUUUUGUUCUUUUUGAGUCAGGAUCUUGCUAUGUAGUUCUCACUGGUCUUGAACUCACUGUGUAGACCAGGCUGGCCUCAAAGUCCCAGCAAUCUCUCUGCCUUAGCCUCCCAAGUACUGGAAUUACAAGCAUGGGACACUACCCCCGAGCUGUUUGCCUUUUCUAACCAAAAAAGAACCUUCUCUGAGCAGAUGGAUCUCCUGAAGUAUGGUGCUGGCAGUCUGGUUGCAUCUGAACUGUGAGCGGCUGGACUAUUGUCCCCAUCAUCGAACUCUCAGCACGCAGAGCAGCAAUUCAGUCUCCUACAAGUAGGGUACACGUACACUGGAAAGAGCAUAACCUAGAUUAUGUACUGAAAUUUUCACUUUACUACAAAGAGUAAUAAGCCAAAGAAGGUUAUUGUUAUAACAAUCUUGGCUUGGAAUACACCAAUGUGGUGAGAGGGUUACCUAACUGUAUUCUAGAAGACCUAGGUUCUUGGGAGAAACAUAAUCGCAUUUCACAUCCAAAGAAGCCAGCAGUAACUAGUGCCACAACCACGCAGAAGUCUGUACCAGUGACAUAGCUUAUUUCCAGGGGAAGUGCAACUCUUAACAAUUCCUCCGAGGCCACAUGGAGACCAGGUUUUAAAGUAGCAGGAUUGGGCAACAGAUGGAUUUCUAUUUAAUGGUACUGAAUACAAAUGUGUAAAGUUACGCCCACCAUUUUAUAUGGUAAAGGACCAGACACAGAGCAUGUUGCCUUGAAUGAACACAUCUUGCGUAAUGUGCGUAUACUAACCCUGUGUGCUUUGAUGUCCAUAUAUUAUCAUUUAGACAAAUCUUAGGCUCACAGCACAUUCACUCUUAGAUUGACACAUACAUAAAAGUGGUUCAUCAAGCCAGAGUGUAAACAUACCCUGGAUAAAAAGACUUUACAAAGCUAACCGAAAUUUAAACACUGCCUCUGUUACGACAGUUUCUUAAGUCAGUAGGCCAACACAAAAACACAAGAAAUAAUCUCAAUAAAACACAGGAGGUUGGAUGUGGUACCUCAUGUAUUGAGGAGGCUGAGGCAAGAGGAUUGCUGUGAAUUUAAAGCCAGCCUGAACUACAUAGCGAGACCCUGUUUCAAAAAAUGUAUACAACCCUUGUUCUUUACGUCAGUUUUAUAAAUGUAAUUAUGAGCUGUCCUGUGUUUUAAGAAAACCUUGUUACUUUAGAGAAUUAGAUUUUCCUUCCAUAUCAACGUGAUACAUUUUCUUUUGAAAAGCACUUAAAAGAGCCUUUUUAAUUAUGAGCAGUUCAGUCCCACAAACAAGAAUUUUAACAGUUGUGUUUUAGAAUCCCUUUACAACCUGUUCAGGUACUUUACUGGUUUUAAAAAUUUAGUCAUUUAUUUUAUUUAUUCUCUUUUCAGUUUGUGGCUCAGAAUGGCUUUAAAGUCACUAUGUAGCCCCUCCAAUUCGUGGCAAUCCUCCAGCCUCAGGCUCCCAAGUGCUGGGAUUGUAGGUGUGGACCACCUUGCCCGGACAAUCUAGAACAAAAGAAAAAAUGUUUGCCAUCCCAAGUCCUUUUGCAUCCAAGAUGUUUAUCUAAAAGUGAAAGUAGGGGAGAGAAAGGGAAGGGUAGAGUAAUGCUUUUCCAGUCCCAAGAGACUGUAGCUAGGAGCUGAAGGAGUCCCCAGGGGCAAACCUCCCUUUCAUUGCAUAUAAAAUUCUAUGCCAGAAUAGUAAUGCUGAGCAUCUUUAGUGAUGACCCAGGAAGAGAGCAAUUUUAAACCGUUUACAUAGAUUGAGAUUUAAGAGAAAUUCCAUACACCAGGAUAUAUUGUCUUUGUAUUUACUUUAAGAACCUAUGAAUACUUGACUUUGUUUUAACUGAUUACUCAAAUGAUUUAAUAAACAUUUACAAGCAUUUCUCACAUGUAGAUGUAUUUUAUCAAUGCUCACAACUAUUUUAGCUUAUCCAUUAUAAGAGAGGUAUUUGACCAUCGUAGUGAACGUUAGCCCUGUUUAGCGUGUGUUUCCAUGGCUUUAUAUCUUUAAGAAGUCACCUGAGCCAGCACCUCCGUCCUCUUUCUCGUCUUGGCUAAGCUGGAGCAGACUAUGUGCUCCUGUGUGCUAAAUAUUUGUGGCAGGAAGAAGAGGGAGGAAAGGAAAGGACAUUCAGAUGGAGCAGAGGAACACAUUUGAAGAUUCCUGUGCUUGUCCAUGUGAACUCUGGAGGAGACAGGCUUGUGGUGAAGCUGGAGAGUGGGGACUGGGGGAACCUAUGGGAGAGUGACUGAUCCAGGGACCUGGGAGGGAGCUGAUAGCAGUGAGAGUAGGAGCCAGAGAGGAACUACAGCCUUUCUCAAAGAAGCCACCCUCUAGAGAUAAUUGUAGUGACAGUUUGUGUAUAAGUUUCAGAAAGCAGAGUGCAGUGGGACCUGAUUAAAUCAAGAUCUGCUCAGAUGGUUAGCUGUUCAUAACCAUGGAUUGCUUCAGUGUGGAAAUUCAGAUUGACUUCAGUGAGGGUGACAAAUUGUUUUAUAUGGCCCUUGAGUCAGGUCCCCAGGCAGAUCCUUAGGAUAGCGAUGAAUGGCACCAACAACACUGCUGUUGAACUAGUGGGUGCACUACCUCGUGUGUUCUCCCAGUAGCCUGUGCAGUGUGCAUUACUAACUCUCCCAUCUUGAGAAUCAGGAAAGCAAGGUUAGAGUGGUGAGAUGAUUCCCAGCCUUCACAUUCCUCCCAAAUGGACCACUUUUUAUACCCAACACACUCAUACCCAGCAGCAUGCUGGAACAGGUGAGAAAGCCUGCAUCCUGGAGCCAGUGUUGUCCUUCAGGAACAGGAAAAGGAGUGUCUGGCUUUGGGAACACAGGAACUAAAGUGGGCUCCUGAGGGACCCGCCCCGCUGGCCAGUGCUCAGGUCCCGAGCUCAGUUCCACACCUUCCCGCCUUGGUUGGAUCUGGUGGGUUCAGUGGUAUCUUCUGGAUGUGGGAGGUGAGGUCCGACAAGAUAGAUCCACGUCCAUAACAUAGGGUAAAAUGCAGUGAGAACGGGGAGAGGGAAAAAGAAUGCCUCCCGUUUGGGACGCUUCACACUGCCUAACAUUUCCUGAGAGGGAAUCGAGGUCCUCUGGGCCACUUGCAUACUCUGAGCCUGAGUGAAGACGACUUGCUGGAAGAGCCAGACACAGAUGACAAGAACAUGUGCUUUAUUGAGAAAUAUCAACUAUGUGUAUUUGGGAUGAUGGGGUAGCACAUAGUGGGGG
ensembl:lncRNA